rnacentral:rRNA from 1 species
AGUGAACGCUGGCGGUAGGCCUAACACAUGCAAGUCGAACGGCAGCACAGUAAGAGCUUGCUCUUACGGGUGGCGAGUGGCGGACGGGUGAGGAAUACAUCGGAAUCUACUUUUUCGUGGGGGAUAACGUAGGGAAACUUACGCUAAUACCGCAUACGACCUACGGGUGAAAGCAGGGGAUCUUCGGACCUUGCGCGAUUGAAUGAGCCGAUGUCGGAUUAGCUAGUUGGCGGGGUAAAGGCCCACCAAGGCGACGAUCCGUAGCUGGUCCGAGAGGAUGAUCAGCCACACUGGAACUGAGACACGGUCCAGAGUCCUACGGGAGGCAGCAGUGGGGAAUAUUGGACAAUGGGCGCAAGCCUGAUCCAGCCAUACCGCGUGGGUGAAGAAGGCCUUCGGGUUGUAAAGCCCUUUUGUUGGGAAAGAAAAGCAGCAGGUUAAUACCCCGCUGUUCUGACGGUACCCAAAGAAUAAGCACCGGCUAACUUCGUG